ensembl:lncRNA
GUUGGGAAGAUCCCCUGCAGAAGGGAUAGGCUACCCACUCUAGUAUUCUUGGGNNNNNNNNNNNNNNNNNNNNNNNNNNNNNNNNNNNNNNNNNNNNNNNNNNNNNNNNNNNNNNNNNNNNNNNNNNNNNNNNNNNNNNNNNNNNNNNNNNNGAUCCCCUGCAGAAGGGAUAGGCUACCCACUCUAGUAUUCUUGGGCUUCCUUGGUUGCUUAGACAGUAAAGAAUCCACCUGCAAUGUGGAAGACCUGAAUUUGAUCCUUGGGUUGGGAAAAUUCCCCAGAGGAGGGCAUGGCAACCCACUCCAGUACUAUUGCCUGAAGAAUCUCCAUAGACUGAGGGGCCUACCGUCUGUGGGGUUGCAAAGAAUCAGACAUAACCGAGUGACUACACACAGCACAGCACACUAAUGAGUACAUAACAGAUUUUGAUAUGUUCAAAAUGUAUUUAUUCUCUUCCACCAUCAGAUUCUCACUCUUUAGUAAUGGAUAUGCAUGGCAAGUUGGUUCAUGCACUGACCAAUGAGCAGUGAAGGGGACUGGAGAAUUUUACAACAAUGUCCAGAUAAGGAAAGGAAGGAGGAGGAGGCAAGUGUGGUCAGACUGUCAAUAAACCACUAAUCAAGGCAAAUCACUACCUCAAUGUUCCAACACAUCUUGGAACAGCAGCAUGCAUUAUUCAGAUAAAUAAAUAACAUAUACUUAUAUAAACAUACAUAGAUAGUAGGUUUAUGAAUAUUAUGUUACAUUGUAUGUGUUAUAUGUGUAUACAUCUAUAAUACAGGUUAUUAUACAAACAAAAAUUGCAUAUUAGUACAACUAGUAGUUAACCCUGAAGGCUGCCAUGUCAGAGAACUUUUCAGACUCUAACUCCUGCUGUGUGGCUUGGCAUAAGUUAUUUAACUUUUCUAUAUUUCANNNNNNNNNNNNNNNNNNNNNNNUUCCUAAUAGUAACUGUCUUAUGUGAUUGUUCUGAGUAUUAAAUGAGAUGCUAUUCCCUGGACACAUAGAAAACCUCCAUAAAAGUUUUCGUAUGGCUAUUGUCAUUAUUACAUUAUAUUGGACAAAUUACUAGGGAAUUGCAUGAUUUCAGGUUAGUAAGUUUAUUCUUAAUUAUGUCAAUGCUUUUCCUUUCCUUAGUUUCUCCUUACCAAUUGCACUCGUUAUUCAACUAAUGAUGGUUUGCUGUGUGUUUAUCAUCACUGGGCAAGGUGCACACUUCUGGCUGUGCUCAUUCCAUAGUGCACUCCAUAAGGGUCCACCCACAGAAACACUCAAUGGAUUCUUAUAAACCGAGUGACCAUGCUUGACUUUCUUCAUAGCUAGGGCCAUAAUUAGAAAUCAACCUUUUUAGUACAAAGUUAUAAUGUCAAGACAGAUUUUUAAAGGGAAUGCAAAGUUAAACCUGGUAAUUCAGUAAUCCUUGGAUGUACAACAAGCCAUCCAACUUUUAUGAAUUAAAGCAAUGAUUUGUUAUUUUUGUUGGUUUGUUUAAUUCAGUUGAGUGGUUAUUCUGUUCCAGCUGGAAGUGCCUGGCACUACACACUUGGGUGCGUUUAACUCGGCUGCAGGACUGGGUUAAAAUGUACAGAAGAGCUUUACUCAUAUAUCUGGGGCCUCAGUUUUCCUUCACAUGGCCUGUUUUCCUUCAUGUGGCCUCUCUUCCUACACAUGACUAUUUGAUUGUCCUGACAAUGGUGGUAUCACAGUAUAUAUAUCACAUAUAUUACAGUCAAAUGCCCACAAAGUGAAAAUGAAAGCUUUUAAUCUUCUUAAAGUCACUUCUUCCACAUUUUGUUGACCAAAACAAGUCAACAACUCAGCUUAUAUUUAAGGGAAUGUGAAAUCAACACUACCUUCUUGAAAAGCAAUUAACGCAGGAAGGGAAAUAACUGAUCAGGCCCAUUUUAAAGACUAUGGUAGAUAAUCAUUACUCUAAGAUUUCUAGAAUAUUAUUUUUAAUCAUUUCAACUAAAGACUGAAUUAAAUACUUUAUUAGUGGUCAGGUGAAAAUAUAUUUACUGUUCUUUGUCCCCGCAGAUUAAAAGUAGAUAGGACAAAAGAUCUACAUUGUUCACUAAGAUUUUUGGACCAUUAAGCCCAACUAGUACAACUAUUUUUAACCAUUUAUUAACUGCUCAUUAUGGACCAGACAUUGAACCUAACAACUGAUAUAUAAAUAUGAAUGAAAAAAGUGAGAUAAUUCAAUCUUAGGAGUCUGCAUAAAACAUACCGUAUUAGACCAAAGCAAUAAAUAUGAUUUAAGUAAGGGCAGGAUGCCAGAAUUGCUAAGAGAGGCACAACACUCAGACUGAGCUGGCAAAUAUGCCAUCUGGACUGAGUCACAAAGAGAGAAUGAAGCAGAAAAGUUCAUUCAAGGUAGAGGGGACCACAGGAUCAAAAGCGUGAAGCCAUGCAAGACGACAGGGGACACAGGGAUUUGAAGAGCGCUGGAACCCAGCCCUUCAGUGUGUCAAGU